rnacentral:rRNA from 1 species
GUACACGCUGUGACUAGCAUAUCAAUAAGCGGAGGAAAAGAAACUAACAAGGAUUCCCCUAGUAACGGCGAGUGAAGCGGGAAGAGCUCAAAUUUGAAAUCUUAAAGGGUUUCCCUUUACGAAUUGUAGUUUAAAGAAGUGUUUUCUGUUGAGGUUUUGGUAAAAGUUCUUUGGAAUAGGACAUCAUAGAGGGUGAGAAUCCCGUAUUUGACCCUUUACUUUCAACUUUGUGAUACACUUUCAAAGAGUCGGAUUGUUUGGGAAUGCAGUCCAAAAUGGGUGGUAAAUUUCAUCUAAAGCUAAAUAUUGGCGAGAGACCGAUAGCGAACAAGUACCGUGAGGGAAAGAUGAAAAGAACUUUGAAAAGAGAGUUAAACAGUACGUGAAAUUGUCAAAAGGGAAGCGUUUGACACCAGUGUUGUUUUUCUGAAAAUCAAUUAAAGAACUGUUUAUGCUAAGUCUGUUUAGACUUUAUCAGCUAUCUGUUUAGUUUUGAGCUUUUCUUUAAUGCACUUUUCAGUUAACAAGUCAACAUCAAUUUCUUUUGCUGUAAAAAAGCUUGAGGAAGGUGGCUUGAGAUUCGUCUUAAGUGUUUAUAGCCUCUUGCCUAUGCAGUCGGAGAGAUUGAGGUCUGCAGCGUAGAUCCUUCGGGGCUAAAUGCAUUUGUGCUAAGUUAUAGCAUUUUCAUAGACAACUUGUUGACUAUGAUUUGUCUUGUAGCUUACUCGCUUAUGUUAUUUUACCUACGCUUAGGAUGUUGAAGUCAUCGUAUCGCGC